UGUUUUUGUUGAAUGUAAUUUUGGUAGGGUUGAAAUCAACACAAAAAGUUCUGUCGAGCCACAUUUUUGGUUUUUGCAUCGCUAGAUUGUCGAUAUUCUAGACUUACGUGCACAGAACGACUUCGGACUAAUUCUGAUUAAAUCCUGCAGUACGGGAACAGACUAACUGUCGGCAAGUUGGUUGCAAGUU